rnacentral:rRNA from 1 species
GUUGAUCCUGGCUCAGGAUGAACGCUAGCUACAGGCUUAACACAUGCAAGUCGAGGGGCAUCAUGGAGUUGCUUGCAAACUCUGAUGGCGACCGGCGCACGGGUGAGUAACGCGUAUCCAACCUUCCCUAUAGUAGAGGAUAGCCCGGCGAAAGUCGGAUUAAUACUCUAUGUUUUCCGUUGCAGACAUCUAAGAUGGAACAAAGGCUUGCCGCUAUAGGAUGGGGAUGCGUCUGAUUAGGUAGUCGGCGGGGUAACGGCCCACCGAGCCAUCGAUCAGUAGGGGUUCUGAGAGGAAGGUCCCCCACAUUGGAACUGAGACACGGUCCAAACUCCUACGGGAGGCAGCAGUGAGGAAUAUUGGUCAAUGGGCGAGAGCCUGAACCAGCCAAGUAGCGUGCAGGACGACGGCCCUAUGGGUUGUAAACUGCUUUUAUGCGGGGAUAAAGUUCACUACGUGUAGUGUUUUGUAGGUACCGCAUGAAUAAGGACCGGCUAAUUCCGUGCCAGCCGCUGC